rnacentral:rRNA from 1 species
UACGAAGGGGCUAGCGUUGUUCGGAAUUACUGGGCGUAAAGCGCACGUAGGCGGACAUUUAAGUCAGGGGUGAAAUCCCGGGGCUCAACCCCGGAACGGCCUUUGAUACUGGGUGUCUUGAGUUCGGAAGAGGUGAGUGGAAUUGCGAGUGUAGAGGUGAAAUUCGUAGAUAUUCGCAGGAACACCAGUGGCGAAGGCGGCUCACUGGUCCGAUACUGACGCUGAGGUGCGAAAGCGUGGGAGCAAACAGG